rnacentral:snRNA from 1 species
GGAUGUGAGAACGAUCUGGCUGUGACCUCAUUGAUCACCAGGGUUGCUUCGGCUGAUCCGGAUGGCUAGUAGGGUGUCCGCUCCUCCCCUCCCCGCGCCAUGUGCGUCCCUCCUGAAGCUGUGUGCUCAGUAGGUAGAAGAGGAUGACCAUCCCCAAUAGAGAAGGACUGUUUCCUCCAUCAAGGGGAAACAACUAGCUCCAUAUGUGUGUAAAAGGUUUUAUUAAUAGGUUGAGCUGCUUUUAUAUUUCUGCAUAAAAACAAUAAAAUAGAAAAAAUAAACAAAAGUAAUAAAAAGUAAAAGUAGAAAGUAAGACUUGUGGGUUUCUCUCU